CUGAUGCUUCUAAUGGUGGUGGGAAGGCUUCCUGCAGGAUGAUAGAAGGAGGUGGGGCAGGACUCAAACCACAGCAACGGGGACUUCAAGCCACGUUCUCAGGGACCAUCCUAUCGCGGGGCACAAUUACAAACAGUUAUCUGUCUGUCAUUACAAGCCUGAAGUCUUUGCAGACGUGGACCUGUAAAAAUUCAAGUCAAGAUCUGGAAAUGAGACAUUUCUAACUAAGGAAAUGCUCUUCAAAACUUAGAAUUUUUACCAGCGACCCUCCAGCAAAAUGCUCUAUUAUCAGCUUCCUACAGACCUCUUGAGAGCCACCCUCAGGCAUUAUUCCGGAAGCAAUCCUCCCCGGCUCACUUCCCUGGCUGGGCCGCCCUUCAUGAGGGAUUGAUUUUUUUUUUAAUUUGAGAAAUGAGUACCUCAUCACGUACAAACGUCACAUCACUUCCUGCCUCAUUGUCACCUUGGAAUAUUCUCUCCACCGCUUCUCCGGAACAGUGUGUCAUAGACACCCUCCAGAGGAGCUUGGACUGCCACCAACAGUGUGUGGCAAACAUCCACACAUCUCAUCAGUAUCUUCAUUUCCCAUCUUGGAGUCAUGGUUGAGGUGCCUACAGUGAGAGAAAAGCACACAGAUCCAUCUGAUAUCCAUCUUCUGGGACAGGAAGAAUUCCUAAGGAAUGAAGACCCUAUUAAAGACAAUAAAGCAGAUUUUUAAAUAAUAA